rnacentral:rRNA from 1 species
CCUACGGGUGGCAGCAGUGGGGAAUAUUGGGCAAUGGAGGCAACUCUGACCCAGCAACGCCGCGUGAAUGAUGAAGGUCUUCGGAUUGUAAAGUUCUGUGAUGGGGGAUGAACACAAUGACGGUACCCCAAUAGCAAGCCACGGCUAACUACGUGCCAGCAGCCGCAGUAAUACGUAGGUGGCAAGCGUUAUCCGGAAUGACUGGGCGUAAAGGGUGCGUAGGUGGUUUAGUAAGUUGGCGGUGUAAUUCCGGGGCUCAACCUCGGCGCUACCGCCAAAACUAUUAGACUAGAGUGCAGGGGGGGUAAGUGGGAUUCCGAGUGGAGGGGUUGAAUGCGUAGAUAAUAAGAGGAA